rnacentral:tRNA from 1 species
GGGGCUGUAGCUCAGCGGCAGAGCACUUGCCUAGCAAGUGCCCUGGGUUCAAUCCUCAGCACCA